GCUGCCCAAGUGCUCUUUGGUACCUUUGCUCUCUCCUCCUAGCUCCAGCAAUUUUUCUAGCUCCACUUUUACCUGAUUACUCUGCUUCUUAAUUCACAGAGCAGCAAUCAGCACAGGCAUGUCACAAGCUCCAAUCAGGACGCUUGCGCCCAUGUGGUCUUCCAGUGACUACAGAUAGAUAAGCACUCAGGAAGAGAGAAGCCUGCGACUGAUCUGGGAGAAAGGUGAACUGCAGCCACCACUGCAAGAUGCAGCCAGCACAGUCUCUCUCAUUCUUCACUUAGUUCAACUUCCUAACCCAUCAAUGCCAGCAUGGACAAAGAAGAGCAGCAAACGGGGAGGAGUCAAGACUUUACGUUUUACUAGAUAUGGAGAUAUGGUGAGAACAUGAUGAAACCAAGAGCAUGUGACAGAGGAACACAGUUUGCCUCCUGGAAGCUGGGAAGAGGGUGGGUGACAGGAGUGAGGUCUCAGUACCUGUGACCUAACUGCCUCCAUGUAGGACCCUCUUCUUAAUGCUUCUGCCAACAUUACCAUAGCUGGUAUCAAACCUUAAUCCAUGAGAUUUUGACGGAUACUCCUGAUAAAAACUAUAACUAUGGAUCUGGGAUGCAUUCAGAAUAGACAACUGUCAGAUGCCAGGUCUUGGUUGGGUAUUGGCUCCAGAAGAGCACACCUGAAUGGAAAUCUCUGCCUUCCUAGGGUGCAUAAAAAUUUGCCAUUGACUAAGUGUGGACCACAUGGGAUGGGGGAGCAACUGUGAUAGUCCACACCUGUAUUCCAUCACUCCUAGUGUGGGAAGGGAGGCAGAGACAGGAGAAUGGAAAAGCUCACAGGCCAGCUAACCUGGAGCGAGCAACAUCAAAGAAACAAGAAAGCACUGCCUCAACAAGGUGGAAGUGGAUUACCAACUCCUGAAAGUUAUCUUCUGACAUGUAUAUAUACAUACACACACACACACACACACACACACAUACAUACAUACAUACAUACAUGCAGGCAGGCAGGCAAACAGACAG